rnacentral:rRNA from 1 species
CGGAGGAUCCGAGCGUUAUCCGGAUUUAUUGGGUUUAAAGGGUGCGCGGGCGGGAGAUUAAGUCGGCGGUGAAAUUUUGCAGCUUAACUGUAAAAGUGCCAUCGAUACUGGUUUCCUUGAGUGUAGAUGAAGUAGGCGGAAUUUGUGGUGUAGCGGUGAAAUGCAUAGAUAUCACGAGGAACUCCGAUUGCGCAGGCAGCUUACUAAACUACUACUGACGCUCAGGCACGAAGGCGUGGGGAUCAAACAGGAUUAGAUACCCUGGUA